AUGGGUUCAGAUGUGGAGUACAUAUACAAGCACUAUGCCGAGUCAUCCGACGAGGAGGACUGCACAAAUGAGACGACGAUGAUACAUGCGGUCCUUGCAGACACAAAGCAUGGUCAUGUUAAUAAGCCCACCAUCAUUCUUGAAGCAGUUGCAUCACAUGAUCUUUGGAUUUGA
rnacentral:rRNA from 1 species